rnacentral:rRNA from 1 species
GACGAACGCUGGCGGCGUGCCUAAUACAUGCAAGUCGAGCGGAAUUAUGGGAGCUUGCUCCCAUAAUUUAGCGGCGGACGGGUGAGUAACACGUGGGCAACCUGCCUAUAAGACUGGGAUAACUUCGGGAAACCGGAGCUAAUACCGGAUAAUUCUUUUCCUCUCAUGAGGAAAAGCUGAAAGACGGUUUCGGCUGUCACUUAUAGAUGGGCCCGCGGCGCAUUAGCUAGUUGGUGAGGUAACGGCUCACCAAGGCUAAGACGGGUAGGGGACCUAAGGAGGGUCGACCCCCCA